GCACAGCUGAAGAGUCCAACUAUGGGACGAAACGGCCGUCCAGUAA
rnacentral:hammerhead_ribozyme from 1 species